rnacentral:rRNA from 1 species
GAUGAACGCUAGCGGGAGGCCUAACACAUGCAAGCCGAGCGGUAUUGUUUCUUCGGAAAUGAGAGAGCGGCGUACGGGUGCGUAACACGUGUGCAACCUGCCUUUAUCUGGGGGAUAGCCUUUCGAAAGGAAGAUUAAUACUCCAUAAUAUAUUGAACGGCAUCGUUUAAUAUUGAAAGCUCCGGCGGAUAGAGAUGGGCACGCGCAAGAUUAGCUAGUUGGUGAGGUAACGGCUCACCAAGGCGAUGAUCUUUAGGGGGCCUGAGAGGGUGAUCCCCCACACUGGUACUGAGACACGGACCAGACUCCUACGGGAGGCUGCAGUGAGGAAUAUUGGUCAAUGGGUGCAAGCCUGAACCAGCCAUCCCGCGUGAAGGACGACUGCCCUAUGGGUUGUAAACUUCUUUUGUAUAGGGAUAAACCUACCCUCGAGAGGGUAGCUGAAGGUACUAUACGAAUAAGCACCGGCUAACUCCGUG